rnacentral:tRNA from 1 species
UGGCUCAGUGGUAGAGUACUUGCCUUGCAUGCAUGAGGUUCUGGGUUCAAUUCCUCAG